rfam:Triticum aestivum genome assembly, contig: Triticum_aestivum_CS42_TGACv1_scaffold_592107_7BS
AUAGUACUCCCUUCGUUCCACAAUACAUGACUUCCAUUUAUUAAUAUAUAGAUGUAUCUAGACAUGUUUUAGUAUAUAGGUACAUCCAUUUUUGAACAAAUGAAAGUCAAGUAAUUUUGAACGGAAGGAGUACAUG